rnacentral:tRNA from 1 species
AAGAAUUUAGUUAAACUCAUAACAUUAGUUUGUCGUACUAAAAUUAUUAAAAUUAUUGAUAUUUCUUA